rnacentral:rRNA from 1 species
AUGGCGACAACGCCACCCAACCACCGGCCGCCGCUUGUGCAAUCAUUCUCCCUGCUGCUUCUCCUCCUCCUCCUCCAUCCUUUCUUCUCCGCCGGGACGCCAUCUAUCACCACCAAAGCCGUGCCGCGGCUGCCGGGUUUCAGCGGGUCCCUGCCCUUCUCCCUCGAAACAGGGUACGUGGCGCUGGACGACGGCGUCCGCCUCUUCUACUACUUCAUCAAGUUGGAGCGCGACCCGGAGGAGGACCCCGUCCUGCUCAGUGUGUUCUUUUUGCUACGAUUACCUAAACUUUAUGUUGCAAAGCUAGCUUCCUACGACCAAAUUAAGAACCCUUCCUUCCAGAGUAGAAAUUAUCAUGUCUAG